rnacentral:lncRNA from 1 species
AUGUCCACGCAGGGUCCAGGGUCCAGGGUGUCGCCACACCUUCGUGCUCUCAUCUGUUCCUCCGAUUUCCUCAGGGAGCACGAUGGGAAGAGCUUAUGCCUGAGCCCCUCCCUCAUGGGCCACUCUUCCAGCAGAAAUGUAACAUCAGCUCUGCUCAGGCCUCAAACCCGGGCUGAUGUCAGCAGCACCACCUCUCAUGAUGGAGUGGGCGGCCGCAGACCCCUCUCCCAGCUCGCAGAGCCUCUGGGAUCCCCAGCCUCACCCGCCUCAAGCCUUUGCAGGAGCUGCACCCUCUUGCUAGAACACCCCUUCUCCUGACUGCCAGGGACUGGCACCUUCUCUGCAUCCAGGUCUCCACUUGGAGGUCACCUCCCCUCACCGAGAGGGGCCUGCCCCGUGUCCCUCCGUGUCACACUUCAGUAGCUUCCUGUCACCUUGCAAUCUGGAACUUGUAUGACCAUCUGCCACUGUGUCAUUGCUGACGUCUCUUCUGUCGUCCCCUGUGUGCACAGAAGCUCUGGGAGGGCAGAACCCCUGUUGGGCUUACGUAGCCCCAGAACUCCAGGAUCAGGGCCAUAUCCAGGAAGUGUUCACUAACCAU